rnacentral:rRNA from 1 species
AUUGAACGCUGGCGGCAUGCCUUACACAUGCAAGUCGAACGGUAACGGGCCUUCGGGUGCCGACGAGUGGCGAACGGGUGAGUAAUACAUCGGAACGUGCCCGAUCGUGGGGGAUAACGAGGCGAAAGCUUUGCUAAUACCGCAUACGAUCUACGGAUGAAAGCAGGGGACCGCAAGGCCUUGCGCGGACGGAGCGGCCGAUGGCAGAUUAGGUAGUUGGUGGGAUAAAAGCUUACCAAGCCGACGAUCUGUAGCUGGUCUGAGAGGAUGAUCAGCCACACUGGGACUGAGACACGGCCCAGACUCCUACGGGAGGCAGCAGUGGGGAAUUUUGGACAAUGGGCGCAGGCCUGAUCCAGCCAUGCCGCGUGCAGGAUGAAGGCCUUCGGGUUGUAAACUGCUUUUGUACGGAACGAAAAGCCUUCUUUUAAUACAGGAGGGUCAUGACGGUACCGUAAGAAUAAGCACCGGCUAACUACGUA